ACGAACGCUGGCGGCGUGCCUAAUACAUGCAAGUUGAGCGCUGAAGGUUGGUACUUGUACCAACUGGAUGAGCAGCGAACGGGUGAGUAACGCGUGGGGAAUCUGCCUUUGAGCGGGGGACAACAUUUGGAAACGAAUGCUAAUACCGCAUAAAAACUUUAAACACAAGUUUUAAGUUUGAAAGAUGCAAUUGCAUCACUCAAAGAUGAUCCCGCGUUGUAUUAGCUAGUUGGUGAGGUAAAGGCUCACCAAGGCGAUGAUACAUAGCCGACCUGAGAGGGUGAUCGGCCACAUUGGGACUGAGACACGGCCCAAAAUCCUACGGGAGGCAGCAGUAGGGAAUCUUCGGCAAUGGACGAAAGUCUGACCGAGCAACGCCGCGUGAGUGAAGAAGGUUUUCGGAUCGUAAAACUCUGUUGGUAGAGAAGAACGUUGGUGAGAGUGGAAAGCUCAUCAAGUGACGGUAACUACCCAGAAAGGGACGGCUAACUACGUG
rnacentral:rRNA from 1 species